rnacentral:tRNA from 1 species
GACCGCGUAGCUCAGUUGGAAGAGCAUUGGGCUAGUAUUCCAAAGGUCGUAGGUUCGAAUCCGAUCGUGGCCG